rnacentral:lncRNA from 1 species
CCAGUUUUGUAAGAAACUGCCACACUGUCUUCCAACAUAGCUGUACUAUUUUACAUUCUCACCAACUGAUAUGGUUUGGCUCUGUGUCCCCAUCCAAGUCUCAUCUCCAAUUGUAAUCCCCCCAUGUGUCAGGGGAGGGACCAGGAGGUUGGUGAUUGGAUUAUGGGAGCGGUUUACCCCACGCUGUUCUCGUGAUGAUGAGUGAAUUCUCACGAGAUCUGAUGGUUUUAAAGUGUGGUUCUUCCUCAUUCUCCCACACACUCCCUCCUGCUGCCUUGUGAAAAAGGUGCCUGCUUUCCCUUCACUUUCUGCCAUGAUUGUUAAGUUUUCUGAGGCCUCCUAGCCACACUUCCUGGUUUUUGUCCCUCUCUUAAAGUGAAUGGUCACAGAGCCAUGAGCAGGUGGAAGAUGCAGGUGGAGGCAUCUUCCCUGUCACCGUUGGUAUGUCUGGUUGAAACCUGCAACAAGGAAUCAGUCUUCAUGCAACUCUCAGCAACCUCUACUGAGAUCUCUGUUGAAGCAUUGUUUGCAAGAGCAGAUAAUCAGAAACCACCCAAAAAAUCAUAAAGAAGACAUUGGGCAAAUCAACAAUGGUAUGCUGAGAUUUGGAUUGCCAAAUUGACCUUGAAGUGAAGGAGGCAGAUUUGCUUGUAAUAACAAUGAAAGCGAUACAAGAUCUUCUAUUUGAAGUGCAGAAUGUCCCAUUCACCAUGAGACGCUGGUAAAUAAUGUUUUCAUUUUGUGCAGCAUGCCUCCAGUUGUGUAAAGAAUGUAAAAGGGAAAUGUCUCAAAACAGAAGAAGACGCCUGUGGGCAGCACCUUCUGCAGAGUGAUCCUGGGAGCUGGAAAGAAGACUCACUUUUCAUUUUACAACCUUGGGCACUGUAAGGAUAUUUUGGGCUUGGUAUGUGUGUUUUGUUGUUGUUGUUUUUUGUUUGUUUUAUUAUACUUUAAGUUUUAGGGUACAUGUACACAACGUGCUGGUUAGUUACAUAUGUAUACAUGUGCCAUGUUGGUGUGCUGCACCCAUUAACUCAUCAUUUAACAUUAGGUAUAUCUCCUAAUGCUAUCCCUCCCCCUCCCCCCACCCCACAACAGGCCCCGGUGUGUGAUGUUCCCCUUCCUGUGUCCAUGUGUUCUCAUUGUUCAAUUCCCAC